AUAAAAUUGUAAGAUUAGGGGUAUUCACUAAAAGCUGCGUGAAGUGAAAUUAUGCGUAAUUUGGGCAAAGAAACAUUUCACAUAAAAUAUUCCUCCUCCGAUUCUAUUGGACGUCAAAUGAGAGAUUUUUAAUCUAGUCACCCACUGAAAACGUCAGCUAUAUUCUCAAAAAUAACUUUGUUUUAUAAGUUUUUAUGUACGAUCUAGAAUCUCCGGUACAAUUCAGCCGUUCCUACAUUAUUAUUGAAGGACUUUCGUGGGAGCAUCUGGAGCUGGUUCCGAAUCGACAGCGAGUUUAAACCAGUUAACGAUAAGGCAAACUUACCCACAAGUUAUCUUCCUAAUUCCCCAGCAGUGUGAUUUGUGUUCUAAGUGUGUUGUUUGGUGUGUAGCUUAUAAUAAAAAUUAAAUUUAGUCCGAUACCGA